rnacentral:rRNA from 1 species
UCGCCUGUUUAUCAAAAACAUCGUUUCUUGGGAGAAUAAGAAAUUUGACCUGCCCACUGAAAUUAAUUUUGAAGGGCCGCAGUAUUUUGACUGUGCAAAGGUAGCAUAAUCAUUAGUCUUUUAAUUGAGGGCUUGUAUGAAUGGUUAGACGAGGUGAAAUCUGUUUUAUGUUAAUUUUUGUUGAAUUUAGAUUUUAAGUAAAAAUACUUAAAUUAUAUUAAGGGACGAGAAGACCCUAUAGAGUUUAAUACUUUAAGUUUUAAUUGAGUUAAAUAUUAAUUUUUAGUUAAUAUGAUAUUUAUUUAAUUGGGGUGAUUAGAAGAUAAAAUAAACUCUUCUUUAUGUUAAAUAUUAUAUUUAGUAAUUUGAUCCAUUUAUUGUGAUUAUAAGAUUAAAUUACCUUAGGGAUAACAGCAUAAUUUUCUUUAAGAGUUCUUAUUGAAAAGAAAGAUUGUGACCUCGAUGUUGGAUUAAGAUUAUUAUUGGGUGUAGAUGUUCAAUUUUUAGGUCUGUUCGACCUUUAAAAUCUUACAUGAUCUGAGUUCAAACCGGAGA